UACGGAGGGUGCAAGCGUUGUUCGGAAUUACUGGGCGUAAAGCGCGCGUAGGCGGUUUGCUAAGUCAGAUGUGAAAGCCCAUGGCUCAACCAUGGACGUGCAUUUGAAACUGGCAGACUUGAGUAUUGGAGGGGGUGGUGGAAUUCCCGGUGUAGAGGUAAAAUCCGUAGAUAUCACUAGGAAUACCUAAAGCGAAGGCGAUCUCCUGGAACAUUACUGACGCUAAGGCGUGAAAGCGUGGGGAGCAAACAGGAUUAGAAA
rnacentral:rRNA from 1 species